rnacentral:rRNA from 1 species
AUUGAACGCUGGCGGCAGGCCUAACACAUGCAAGUCGAACGAGUGGCGGACGGGCGAGUAAUGCUUGGGAAUCUUGCUUAUGGAGGGGGAUAACUACGGGAAACUGUAGCCAAUACCGCGUACCAUAGGAUGAGCCCAAGUGGGAUUAGGUAGUUGGUGAGGGAAAGGCCCACAAAGCCGACGCUCUCUAGCUGGUCUGAGAGGAUGACCGGCCACACUGGGACUGAGACACGGCCCAUACGCCUACGUGAGGCAGCAGUGGGGAAUAGUGCGCAAUGGGUGAGACCUGACGGAGCCAUGCCGCGUGAGUGAAGAAGGCCUUCGGGGUGUAAAGUUCUGUCGGUAGCGAAGCGUUAACUACAGAAGAAGCACCGGCUAACUCCGUGCCAGCAGCCGCGGUAAUUC